GGAGAUGUAACUCAGUUGACAGAGUGCUUGCUUAGCAUGGAAGAGGCUCUGGGUUCAAUCCCCAGCACCA
rnacentral:tRNA from 1 species